GACGAACGCUGGCGGCGUGCUUAGCACAUGCAAGUCGUACGGUAAGGCCCUUUCGGGGGUCCACGAGUGGCGAACGGGUGAGUAACACGUGAGUAACCUGCCCACAACUUUGGGAUAACGCUAGGAAACUGGUGCUAAUACUGGAUAUGUAGCCCUGCUGCAUGGUGGGGGUGGGAAGGCUCCGGCGGUUGUGGAUGGACUCGCGGCCUAUCAGCUUGGUGGUGGGGUAGUGGGCUACCAAGGCGGCGACGGGUAGGCGGCCUGGGAGGGUGACCGGCCACAUUGGGACUGAGAUACGGCCCAGACUCCUACGGGAGGCAGCAGUGGGGAAUAUUGCACAAUGGGCGCAAGCCUGAUGCAGCAACGCCGCGUGCGGGAUGACGGCCUUCGGGUUGUAAACCGCUUUCAGCAGGGACGAAGCUUUGUGUGACGGUACCUGCAGAAGAAGCACCGGCUAACUACGUG
rnacentral:rRNA from 1 species